rnacentral:lncRNA from 1 species
CAAAGACCCUACGAAGACCCCACAGCACCCAAUGGUGCUCAAAGCCUACCUAGAUGGACCCCAAAGACCCUACGAAGACCCUACGAAGACCCCACGAAGACCCCACAGCACCCAAGGGUGCCCGAAGCUUACCUAGAUGGACCCCAAAGACCCUAUGAAGACCCCAGAGCACCCAAGGGUGCUCAAAGCCUACCUAGACAGACCAACAAAACCACACGAAGCCCAACCCGUCCUUGACCUACCUCAACCCAACCGCGCAAAAUCCCCCAAACACCCCGGUGGGAGGCGCCCCAGUGGGAGACACCCCCCCCCGCACCCUUGGGUGCCCUCACCCUUCUCGCAGGCCAGGUGGGCAAGCAGGGAGAUGGUCUGGGUGGCUCUGCCCAACCCCAAGGGUGCUCAAGGAGCACCGACACAGGUCCCAAAGACCCUAUGAAGACCCCACAGCACCCAAGGGUGCUCGAAGCCUACCUAGAUGGACAUCCCAAAGACCCUACGAAGACCCUACGAAGACCCCACGAAGACCCCACAGCACCCAAGGGUGCCCGAAGCUUACCUAGAUGGACUCCAAAGACCCUAUGAAGACCCUAUAAAGACCCCAGAGCACCCAAGGGUGCUUGAAGCCUACCUAGAUGGACCCCAAAGACCCUAUGAAGACCCCAGAGCACCCAAGGGUGCUCAAAGCCUACCUAGACAGACCCCUAAACCACACGAAGCCCAACCCGUCCUUGACCUACCUCAACCCAACCCCGCGAAAUCCCCCAAACGCCCCGGUGGGAGGCGCCCCGGUGGGAGACGCCCCCCCCUGCACCCUUGGGUGCCCCUCACCCUUCUCGCAGGCCAGGUGGGCGAGCAGGGAGAUGGUCUGGGUGGCUCUGCCCAACCCCAAGGGUGCUCAAGGAGCACCGACACAGGUCCUGAAGACCCUAUGAAGACCCCACAGCACCCAAGGGUGCUCGAAGCCUACCUAGAUGGACCCCAAAGACCCUAUGAAGACCCUAUGAAGACCCUAUGAAGACCCCACAGCACCCAAGGGUGCUCAAAGUGUACCUAGAUGGGCCCCAAAGACCCUAUGAAGACCCUACGAAGACCCCAGAGCACCCAAGGGUGCUCAAAGUGUACCUAGAUGGACACCAAAAACCCUAUGAAGGCCCUACGAAGACCCCAAAGCACCCAAGGGUGCUCAAAGCCCACCUAGAUGGACCCCAAAGACCCUACGAAGACCCUACGAAGACCCCACAGCACCCAAGGGUGCUCAAAGUGUACCUAGAUGGACCCCAAAGACCCUACGAAGACCCUACGAAGACCCCACAGCACCCAAUGGUGCUCAAAGACUACCUAGAUAGAUUCUGAAGACCCUACGAAGACCCUAUAAAGACCCCAGAGCACCCAAGGGUGCUCAAAGCCUACCUAGAUGGGCCCCCAAGACCCUAUGAAGACCCCACGAAGACCCCAGAGCACCCAAGGGUGCUCAAAGCCUACCUAGACAGACCCUAGAGCCCCUACAAAGCCCAACCCGUCCUUGACCUACCUCAACCCAACCCCGCAAAAUCCCCGAAACACCCCGGUGGGAGGCGCCCCCCCCCCUGCACCCUUGGGUGCCCCUCACCCUUCUCGCAGGCCAGGUGGGCGAGCAGGGAGAUGGUCUGG